rfam:Triticum urartu cultivar G1812 contig870978, whole genome shotgun sequence.
AUGGUACUUCCUCCGUUCCAAAAUACUUGACUUCCAUUUGUCAAAAAAAAAAUGUACCUAUAUACUAAAAUAUGUCUAGAUACAUCUAUAUUUUGAUAAAUGAAAGGCAUGUAUUGUGAAACGGAGGGAGUACAUA